CCCCUGGUCAGUGUCGGCUCUGCCACCUAUCAACCUGCACCCUGGGCAAGGCGUGUGACCUGCCCUUGGCUAAGCUCCUCGGUUCCCUCCUCUGCAAAAGGGAGUCGAAGCACAGCUGCCCCUUCAGAUCCCUGAGCACCAAGCAGGUGAGAGCAUACAGGACACUCAGAAGACUGCUCAGUGUGUAGUUGGCCCCUAGAGGAGCACUUGAUGCCAUCACAGCAUCAUCACAGGAGCCCCACUCUAGGCCAGCAGGUCUGGACAGGCUCUGGCGGUCAGCUGUCAUCCCAACCUGGACACCUGAAGUCACCUGUGACUCCUCCUCCCGCCCACUGCACUUUACCUCUUUGUACCAAUGCGAUGGAUCGAGCCCCGAAGCCACAGCUCACCCCCCACAAGAACCUUGGUUCUGCUAUUCCAGAUUUCUGAUCUCAACGGCCAGUGCAGGCUGGAGGACAGGCAGAGGAGGAAGUCCAAAGAGGGGAGAGUACCUGUCUCCCUACCAACAUAUUUAGGCACCACCAUCUCUGUGACCAGGAUGACGACUGGAGACUCCCCAUUUCUUUCUUGGGGUCCCAAUGCUCAGUAAAGUGAUGGAUUCAACUUUCCUAAGUGGUUCUAUCUCUACAGGUGACCACCCCUCCUGAGGUUCUCUGAGUCUUGACCAGGUAGUGGAGGGGGUCUUAUCAGCUUCUUGACACAAACAGAACACAAGCCCCAAAAGACCAAAUGCUGGGGCUGACACAGCCUGGCACCCUCUCUUGCUGCUGCUGUCCUGCUCGCAAUUGCUGCUCACCUCGGAUGCCUUAUCCUAUCAUCAGCAGCAAUUUCUACCAGAUGGCAUAUCGACAAACUAAUAAAAACACAUCACAUAAGUGGAAAGAGCUGGCACCCCCUUCAGGGUAUUCAGGCUGACAUCGUGUGAUUGGGCCAUGCACAGACAUGCUCAGAAAAGAGGGAAGCACAAAUUAAAUAUUUGCUGUUAAAAAUGGAAUUGGUGAGAAAAGAUGAAGGGUUUAAUGGCUUAUAUUCCUCUGGGCUAAGCAAAACAUCCCAAAUUUUAAGACAUUUGAGGAUCUUCUGGAAAUUGCUUUUUCCCAAACAUUAGCAAGACUAAGGGACAUUCAUUUGCUUGUUGUUGCAAGGGAACUUCAGGCAAAAGACUUGGGAGCAUAGACAAAAAAGAUGGAGAGAGGGGGCUUUGGAGGGUCUGCAAGACUUAGAACAAGGGGUGGUCCUCUGGGCUAAGGUGAGGAACAGAAAAGAGGAUAUCUCUGGGAUCUUACUCAUUGAGACCUCGAAGAACAUUAGUGUGAAGGAAUAAAGUGAAGGUCACCUGAAGACUGUACCAUCAAGGAUGAUCCAAAAAAAAUUCAUUCAACCCACGUACAGCCUGCAGAGAGAACUAUUU
ensembl:lncRNA